GUCAUUCUUUGAAUUCCUUAGUGAGAGUUGAUGAGUUACAUAGCUUUGAUGGUAAAAGUGAGCACUCAAAGUGUUUGUGGAAAUGUCUCAAUAUGAAAAUUGAUGGCUUUGUGGUCUUAGUUUUUGUGCUUUAGGGUCCGUUUGGUUCGAAGUAAAUGGAGGGGAGGAGAGGGAAGGUGAUGGAGUAUUUUUAAAGAAAUGUGUUUGGUUCAAUUUUUAAGAUGAGAGGAGAUUUGUGUUAUUAAUAUUUUGAUUAUAUUGAAAU
rnacentral:lncRNA from 1 species